rnacentral:rRNA from 1 species
CGACCGGGUGAGUAAGACGUAGACGACCGACCAUCAAGUGGGGAACAACUGGCCGAAAGGACAGCUAAUACCGCAUAAGGUUCAUGAAUCAGUUCAUGAAAGAAAGCUGAAAAGCGCUGGAUGGAGGGUCUGCGGCCUAUCAGGUGGUUGGCGGGGUAACGGCCCACCAAGCUAAUGACGGGUAGGGGGUGUGAGAGCAUGACCCCCCACACUGGCACUGAGAACGGGCCAG